AGAGGAGCUGAGUAACACGAGACGCACGUUCCAUGAUGGUUGGGGCUUAAUUUAUAGCCGACGAAUCGGGAGUGCCAGCCUCGCAAGAAAGAAAGAUAGUAGGUAUACUGCGACAAGGAAGGAACGCAUAGUAAAAGCUUUGGUUCGUACAAUUUACGUAAUCGGUGUGAUCAAGCUUCAAGCUUCGUAACCGUUCAUCAUAACUAACGGUUCGCCACCGUCGUCUGAGGCUAUACCGAAUAUCAUCAAUAAUUAGGUUUGGCAGUACUCUAACUUUUAACAAGCUACAUUUUAGAUGGUCAUCAUCGAAAAUGAUAAUUGCAACCGUGGAAUUGUGGCUUGAAAUAGUUGAGUAGGUGCUCGUUUUGAGCUCUUCCGGUUGGAAGCUGCUGUCACUGGCUGGAGCUUGAACUGUUCCAUUGUUUUCGGUUGUACUUUUUUGCUGGUUGUAUAAUAAUAGCUUAUUGCAUAUUGAAUAACUUUAGAUCAUAAUAAAGACAAACAUGUAAACAAAUUCCCAGUGAAAGUGUUAGUAAUUUUACGUAGAAGUUCCCAAACAGUAUGGCUAACUACACUGAAAUUAAUUUGAAUAAGUUGUGCUCAUUUUAAACAUUUUAGAAAUGUUAACUCAAAGAAAAUCAACACAAUGUUAAAAUCCAAAUGAAGAGUUGAAAAGUUG